rnacentral:rRNA from 1 species
AUGCAUUGCAACCGAGAGCUACCCGCCUGCCCAUGGCGCAUGCAAGGGGUAACCUUCCACACCGAUCUUAAGGUUCUUCCCUUGCGCUGCUAUGACGUGAUUCUGGGCAUCGACUGGCUGUCCCAGCACAGUCCGAUGAACGUGCACUGGAAGGAAAAGACCAUGAAGUUUGAGUAUGACGGCAAACAAGUUCACCUCACCGGAGCCCGGGCAGAUACCAUGCAGUGCCAGCAAUUGUCUGGAGAGGAUCUGGAGCGACUUCUUCAACGCUCGGGGGUGGCGCACGUGGUCCAUCUAUGUGUGAUGGCCUCUGAAGGAGUCAAGGCGACAGAACUGCCGGUACCGACUGCUGUGGCUGAUCUCCUCCGCGAAUUCCAGCACCUGUUCGAGGAGCCACGCGGAUUACCACCCAGGCGCGCCUUCGACCAUGCCAUUCCCCUCCUCCCGGGAGCGAAGCCAGUCAACGUCAGGCCGUACCGCUACAGCCCAGCGCAGAAGGACGAGAUUGAACGCCAGGUGGCUGACAUGCUCGCCCAAGGAAUUAUCGUGCCCAGUUCAAGCCCCUUUGCUUCGCCGGUGCUACUAGUCCAGAAGAAGGAUCUUACUUGGCGUUUUUGUGUCGACUACCGACACUUGAACGCGGUGACUGUGAAGAACCGCUUCCCAUUACCGGUGAUCGACGAGCUACUUGACGAGCUAGCAGGCUCCAAGUUCUUCACCAGCCUAGACCUGCGCUCGGGGUAUCACCAGAUUCGCAUGAGACCCGAGGACGAGCACAAGACGGCGUUCAAGACCCACAGCGGCCACUAUGAAUUCAGGGUUCUCUCUUACGGUCUCACGGGCGGCCCCUCAACCUUCCAAGGGGGCAUGAAUAUCGUGAUGGCACCUCUGAACCGACACGGCGUCUUAGUCUUCAUUGAUGACAUUCUCAUCUACAGCGCCACGAUGGAGAAGCACAUUCGAUUGCUGCGGCAAGUUUUCCAAUUGCUGCACGAGCACAAGUUGAAGGUCAAGCCGAGCAAGUGUUCUUUCGCUCGCUCAAGCCUCACCUACCUGGGUCACGAGAUCAGCGGAGAAGGGGUGCGCACCGACGGCAAGAACAUUGCAGCAGUACAGAAGUGGCCGACACCAACCAACGUCAAGGAAGUUCGAGGAUUUCUGGGACUACCGCAAGUUUGUUCAGAAUUUUGGCAUCAUCAGCAGGCCCCUGACUGA